GGCUCCGGGUCGCAGGCCGAGUCCAGCCGGGCGGGCUCCGGGAGGGGCCGGCAGGGCGGGAGGGGGAGGAGGGCUGUCUGGAGCCAGCGAGCCCGGAGGAGGAAGAGGAGGAGGAAGGAGGGGAAGCCGCCGCCGCUGCCGCCGCGCUCGGGGAACCUGGGUGCGCGCGCUCUGCUCGCCCGCGACCGUGCCUCCAGCCCGGGGCCCGCACCCCGGCCCAGGUGCAGCUGCCUUGGCGACCAUUUGUCCUACAGUUUGUCUGGACCCAGGCUGUCCUGUGUGCUGGAAUGAGGCGAACAUGUCUAUGAGCCCGGCAGGGAGGAAUCCUCCAGCCUAUUCCUCGCUGGUACACCAGGUUGUUGGCAGGCCCUGACACGCAAGUAAGGGAAGAUCCCCUCCUCCUGGGAAUAUAUGGACCAGGCUCCUGGGGGGUUCACAGUGAGAGCCCCGGGUCCAGGCUGCGUCUUCAGAGUGCAGCGAUGUCUUCCCCGUGUGCAGACUCUGUGUUCCAUGUGGGUCUGUCGGUUGGCCUAGAAAGUGGAAACGAGGGAACGAACCCGGGGUGGGUCCGCUGCGCAGGGAUGGGUGGUGGCAGCUGCCACUGAGGCCAGCCUGUG
rnacentral:lncRNA from 10 species